rnacentral:rRNA from 1 species
GACUCAACACGGGAAAUCUCACCAGGCCCGGACACCGGAAGGAUUGACAGAUUAACAGCUCUUUCUUGAUUCGGUGGGUGGUGGUGCAUGGCCGUUCUUAGUUGGUGGAGCGAUUUGUCUGGUUAAUUCCGGUAACGAACGAGACUCUAGCCUGCUAAAUAGGCGUCGUCAUUUCGGUGCGGCGACUCGUUCGCGCAACUCACUGGCGGCGUAAUUAAAUUCUUCUUAGAGGGACCGGCGGUUUCGAGCYGCACGAGAUUGAGCAAUAACAGGUCUGUGAUGCCCUUAGAUGUCCUGGGCCGCACGCGUGCUACACUGAAGGAAUCAGCAUGUUCUCCUGGCCUAGAGGCCCGGGUAACCCGCUGAAACUCCUUCGUGCUGGGGAUUGGGGUUUGCAAUUAUCCCCCAUAAACGAGGAAUUCCUAGUAAGCGCGAGUCAUAAGCUCGCGUUGAUUACGUCCCUGCCCUUUGUACACACCGCCCGUCGCUACUACCGAUUGAAUGAUUUAGUGAGGUCUUCGGACCG